AUUGAACGCUGGCGGAAUGCUUUACACAUGCAAGUCGAACGGCAGCACGGACUUCGGUCUGGUGGCGAGUGGCGAACGGGUGCGUAAUGUAUCGGCACGUGCCCAGUCGUGGGGGAUCACGUAGUGAAAAUUACGCUAAUACCGCAUACGAUCUAUGGAUGAAAGCGGGGGAUCGCAAGACCUCGCGCGAUUGGAGCGGCCGAUAGCAGAUUAGGUAGUUGGUGGGGUAAAGGCCCACCAAGCCAACGAUCUGUAGCUGGUCUGAGAGGACGACCAGCCACACUGGAACUGAGACACGGUCCAGACUCCUACGGGAGGCAGCAGUGGGGAAUUUUGGACAAUGGGCAAAAGCCUGAUCCAGCCAUUCCGCGUGCAGGAUGAAGGCCCUCGGGUUGUAAACUGCUUUUGUACAGAACGAAAAGGUUUCUACUAAUACUAGGAGCUCAUGACGGUACUGUAAGAAUAAGCACCGGCUAACUACGUGCCAGCAGCCGCGGUAA
rnacentral:rRNA from 1 species